rnacentral:misc_RNA from 1 species
AACGCACAUUGCGCCCAUUAGUAUUCUAGUGGGCAUGCCUGUUCGAGCGUCAUUUCAACCCUUAAGCCCCCGUUGCUUAGCGUUGGGAGCCUACGGCCUAGCGCCGCAGCUCCCCAAAGUUAGUGGCAGAGUCGGUCCACCCUCCAGACGUAGUAAUUAUUCGCCUCGCCUGGAGUUGGGCCCGCCCCUCGCCGUAAAACAACCCCCUAUUUUCCAAAGGUUGACCUCGGAUCAGGUAGGAAUACCCGCUGAACUUAA